ACGGCCGUGGGCUCAAUUGCUCAAACCAGCCUUUCUCUUCUCUCACUUCUAACUUUCUCUACUAUUACAAAAUUCCUCACGGAAAUAUAAACAUUGCAAGAACAAAGAAAUAAAUAAGCUAAAAUAAUACGUUCAAUUAAUCGUUAUCAGUUUUAACUAUUUAUAAUUAAGAUUCCCAAAAUCGUGCGAUAUCCCGGUAAGGAUGGAAUUGGACCGGUCAAGGAGUCCUUGCUUGUUCGGUAUCACGCUGCAACAAGGAGCACAGCUCGUUGCAGGUGUAAAUAUCGUUUUGGGAAUCUGGUUCUUUGUCAUAUUUUCCCUGUAUUGCUUUACGGUUGGGUCUGACAUUGAUGAAGUCGCAGGUGGAAAAGUUACCGGCAUGAUUAUUGCGUACUGGAUCAUAAUUGGCGUCCUGGUAUUCCUUAGUGUCUUGAUAAAUAUCAUAUUGCUUAAAGGGGCAUAUCAGAAGUCACAAGAGAAAGUUAAAAUUUUUCUCAUGGGACUAAUCGUUCUCGUCGUGGUUGGAUUUAUCGUGACCCUCGUGCGACACUUCAGUCUCACUGCGUUUCUGUUAGAGGUGAGCCGGGCCUGGACUUUUCAAAGCCCGGCCCGCCCAAGCCCGGUUGAAAAGCCCGUCUCAAAAGCCCAGGCCCGCCCAGGCCCGGAAAAAUUGAGCCCAGGCCCGCCCAAGCCCAUUGGGCUUUUUGUGAAAAAAGCCCGCCCAGGCCCAGGCCCACUGGGCUACCCACUGGGCUUUUUUUAAAGGCUAGGUUUAGAUGAACGGUUACCAAAAAUACCUAGCAUUCAAGAUAGUUAUUGAAAGGCACCCUAAAAUUUGGAAGCUUACAUUACUUAUUAAGAUGAAGGUAAAAUUAAACCACCUGAAUUAAAACGUCCUGAAAGAGUUGCAACUUUUAAUUGAUUACAGUAAAAUAGCUGUGUCAAGCUGUGUAGUAUCUGGGACUAAUUUCAAAUUCCCUAAGUGUAAAAUGUUUUGAAUAUGUAUCAAGAAGUUUUUGCUGUGGUUUUAGCAUAGGCAAUAAGGAUAUGUAAAUAAAAAAAGAUAUGUACAUACGUAUGUAUGUAUGUAUAUUUAUAUAAUGUAAAUUAAAUUAUGUAAUGAUCACAGAAAGAAACAAGUAACUCUGUUGUACAAGAAAAUAACUGGUGAAUUGAAAAAAACAUCAAGAACUCAAUAUGUAGUUCUAGCGGUGUGCUACAAUUUUGAAUAGUGUCCCAUUCACCCCCAAACAAAUAUGAGAUGGGCUUGGGCUUUUCCUAAAAAGCCCAAGCCCGGCUGGGCAAAAGCCCGCCCAGGCCCGGCCCAACUAAAUUUGGUUCCUCAAAAGGCCAGGCCCGCCCAAGCCCGGUUCGUGGCAGGCCCGCCCACCCAAAGCCCAAUGGGCCUGGGUGGGCCCGGGCUAGCCCACUUAACGCCCAGGCCCGGCUCACUUCUAGUUUCUGUUCACGUUUUUGAGCGACCUGCCCCUCGCAUAUGAAUGGUGGGUCGUCUACUCCUUUUUCAAAGAGAUUCGAGCAAACGAUGAGAUUGCCAAGGCGGAUCAAGCCGUCUGCGGAAGAGAUUAUCUGAGCCCGUCGGGCCACUGGUACUGUGGGUGAUCAACUUGACAUUCUGGAAACUUAAGAAUUGGGCAGAAGAAAGAGAUUCGACUAAUCUGGCGAAUAUAAAGGUGGCCUUACUACUUUGCACGCAUUUAGCUUAAAGCCAAUUUUAACACAGCUGGAUACUUAGCGUAUGUAUGCAUGUACAAACCUUUACAUAAUUAAUAUGUAUGUAUGCAUGUAUGUGUCGAAAUGUACAUACAUACUGUCCUCGUACUCGGCUCUGUCACCUCUUUUGCAUAUUUUAACGCAUUCGUGAGAGUCAUAGAGUUUACUCAACAUGGAAAGCCCGUAUCGCCGAAAAUGGGCUAUUGAGAUUUAUGCAAAUGAGGUGACACGCCUAAAUGCGAGGAUAGUAUGUCAAAAAUUUUAUAAGUUUGCAAAAUAUAAUUCACGAAAAAUCGCGAUUUCACUCUAUUUAAGUCGACAUUAAAAGAGAAGCCGUCUGAUCAAUACAGAACUCCUGUAUCAACAAAGGGGUCAAACUUUCCACGAAAUUAUUGCCAAAUUCAACUUUGAGAGGCAUCAAUGACUUCAAUACUUUCCUGUCAUGAGUCCUAUCAAAAUUUUGCUUUUUCAACCAAUCUUUAGUCAACGUGUUCACCUUGGCGGCCGAGGUGAACGUAAGCAUGGUAAAUAUCGAGCAUGCGCAGUACAUGUACAGCAGCACUGCCGCUUUUGACAUAUCUUGAUUAUCUGACCUAAAAAAUUUGAUGGACAUGAAGCCAAACAAAAUUUGCAUGUUUGGAACGACGAGGGCAAUUGUGAGAAAAACGCGGCGCCGCAUGCACGAAUUUAUCCAUUUUUCCAGCACAAGAAAUUUCCUGAAAGUAUAGAAACGCUGCAUUGGUGACGUAUAGAUGACGCGAUUUUGACCCAACGGCACACACGCGAUCCACAAGAAGCAAAAGAACGUCAACAUGUGAAGUACACCUAUUCCAAAAAUAAAUAUUUCUUCAUUCAAAAUUCAUUCAAUUUAAAAAUUGAGAACAAUUAUGCAUUUAUCACAUAUUCAUUAAUUCAAAAUUUUGAAAUAAAUAAUUAUUCACUUUGUCUUCAUUUUAUCUCAAA